rnacentral:rRNA from 1 species
GUGGGGAAUCUUGCGCAAUGCGCGAAAGCGUGACGCAGCAACGCCGCGUGGGGGAAGAAGGCCUUCGGGUUGUAAACCCCUUUCAGUUGGGACGAAGCUUCGACGGUUAAUAGCUGUCUGGAGUGACGGUACCUUCAGAAGAAGCCCCGGCUAACUACGUGCCAGCAGCCGCGGUAAUACGUAGGGGGCUAGCGUUGUCCGGAAUCAUUGGGCGUAAAGCGCGUGUAGGCGGUCCGGUAAGUCCGCUGUGAAAGCCAGGGGCUCAACCCUUGGAUGCCGGUGGAUACUGUCGGGCUUGAGUACGGAAGAGGCGAGUGGAAUUCCUGGUGUAGCGGUGAAAUGCGCAGAUAUCAGGAGGAACACCAAUUGCGAAGGCAGCUCGCUGGGACGUUACUGACGCUGAGACGCGAAAGCGUGGGGAGCAAACAGGAUUAGAAACCCUGGUAGUCC